CAGUACAGUGGUGUCCCUGUAAUCGUACUGACCCAUAGAAUGAAGACAACAGAUAAUGGUCCUUUCCUUCAAUGACCCUCCAAGGAUGGAGAAGGACAGAGACCACAUGGCUGCAAGGAUAUUAGACCUCACCCUGGAGAUCAUCUACUUGAUAACUGGAGAGGAUUACACAGUAGUGAAGAAGUCAUCUGGUGAGUGUGUGACACCCCGUGU